AGAAACGUGUACGUGGCAUGUUCU
rnacentral:siRNA from 1 species